AGCCGCUGCGCGGGGCCUGCUGGGAAAUGUAGUUCAAAGUUCGGCACGAGCUGCAGGUCUCUGCCUAACAAUGAACUACCACUCCCAGUAGUCAACGCUGCUCAGGGCU
ensembl:miRNA Mir3566 microRNA 3566